rnacentral:rRNA from 1 species
AAAGGUAACCAGUGUUGGAUCCCCUAGAGUUUGAUCCCCGCCCCUAUAGUUUGGGAUAACUCCCGGAAACCGGGGCUAAUACCGAAUAAUCUCUUUUGCUUCAUGGUGAAAGACUGAAAGACGGUUUCGGCUGUCGCUAUAGGAUGGGCCCGCGGCGCAUUAGCUAGUUGGUGAGGUAACGGCUCACCAAGGCGACGAUGCGUAGCCGACCUGAGAGGGUGAUCGGCCACACUGGGACUGAGACACGGCCCAGACUCCUACGGGAGGCAGCAGUAGGGAAUCUUCCACAAUGGGCGAAAGCCUGAUGGAGCCACUCCCCGUGAGUUAAUAAGGUUUUCAGACUCGCACAACUCAUGAUGAAAGGGAGAGAACACUUCCCCUCGUCACCUGGCUGUCACCUUGCCCGAUACCUUGAUUAGAAAAUCCACGGGUAAGCUGACGCGGCCAGCAACCGAGGGUAAUCGCGUCAGGUUGCCAGACGACAUGUGCCGAAGAUGACGUGCAGCGGACAGGGCCGGCGGCAGGCGUGCUCACUAGUAUGGCCACGACGCGCAAUGGCCCGGCAGCUUGACACGUACGCAGGUGGCUACCGUGGGGUUAAGUUCGGCAACGAGCGCAACCCUGUCUUAGUUGCCAUCAUUUAGUUGGGCACUCUAAGGUUACUGCCGGUGACAAACCGGAGGAAGGUGGGGAUGACGUCAAAUCAUCAUGCCCCUUAUGACCUGGGCUACACACGUGCUACAAUGGACGAUACAAACGGUUGCCAACUCGCGAGAGGGAGCUAAUCCGAUAAAGUCGUUCUCAGUUCGGAUUGUAGGCUGCAACUCGCCUAACAUGAAGCCGGAAUCAGCUAGUAAUGCGUCGCAUUUGAGCGUCGUUAACGUGGGUAUCAAGGGUAACCCGUACUGGACCCUACUAGAGUUUAUCCCUGGCUCCAAAAUGUGUAAGCAAGGUAACCCAGUAUUGAUCCCGUGCGGCCCC